rnacentral:pre_miRNA from 1 species
AUUCCCUGCCCACAACGAGCUCACAGUCUAUAUUAAUGUCUGUCUUUCCCUCUAGACUGCGAGCUCGUUGUGGGCAGGGAAU